ensembl:lncRNA
AUGACCAGAUUUCCGAUGUCCCCACCUUCCACAUACCCUGGCACUGGCGUUGUCCAGCUGUGGUCAGUUCAUCUAAAGGGAGGGUUUUCAAUGCUCACGUUUCCUCCUGUUGCGGGCUCCAGCUUUACCUGCCUCUUAUUGUUCUCAUUCGCCUGGGGAAUGCCGAGUGUAACAAUGGCCCCAGGAAUUCAAGCCAAGGAGCCCAAGAGGGGCCAGAUGGUGCCUUCGUUCCUGGUGCCAGAACUGCGGCGUUUCUCUGAAUAAAGUUGCUGGGGCCUGGCUUAGGCCAUGGUGGUGGUCAGACCCCACAGUUGGGGACUGCAGGGGAAGGAGAAGAAGUGUCCCAAGCAUGGUAAGCAGGCUGGAGCCCAGGGAUGUAGCUUGUGUUUAAACCUGGCAGUGCAUUUAGUCAAAGAAAAGGGCUCAGAUCACAUUAUUCUGGCCACUUAUCCUGGCCCCACAGAGCAAGGCCCUGGGAGGAAAAAGAGGAAGCCCAGUUCUCAGGACUGAGGCUUUAACAUUGCAGGUAUGCAACCUCCUCUACUCCUAGAAGCCUCAUGAGGGAGCCUCUGGAGGGGACAGUUGGGUUAGUCCACGGGAAGGACAGGAGUGGGGCAACUUGGGGACAAGGUCACUGUAAGGGAGGCAGGAGGUGGGAAGUAGGCUCAGGGGUGGGAGAGGACUGAGGAGAGCCAGCUGCCGGGGGCCGAGGCCUUGGUCAGCUCAGCAAGCUGGUCCCAUGGGGACUCUGAGAGGACGGGCUGCUCCCUAAGGAAACUCGAGUUUUGGGUCAGUCUGAUCCUACUAGACGUCAUACGAGACACCAUGCAAGUGACCUCUGCUCUGACUUCUGCCUGAGCACUUGGCUCACCAUUCUCUCCUCACUUUUCCCCACCACCCUACUGGAAGAAAGAGAGAACAGCCAGCCUCCAGGGCCCUUCCUUUCCCUGGCCACCUUCCUUCAGACACAGCAUGCUUGGAUUCAGAGUAAGAAAGAAAAUGAGAACUGAAAACUAGACCUUGUUUCAUUCAAGUGCAUUGUUUUGAAUCCUGUUUUUUUUCUGUUCCUUUUUGGCACCAUGGGCAUUCCUGCAGAGUGGAGUUUGAAUACAGGCACAUUCUUCAGAGGGGAAAAAUCCCAUUGCCUAGCCCAAGGCUGAGCUCCUGGGCCAACACACACAGGGCUCUGGGUUGUUUGCUGAUUCAGCAGGUGCCGCCUGCCCUGGGCCACCUUAAAGAGUCACAGGAUGUCCACUGAGCAAGCUCUUGGGGGCCAGAUAAGUGAUUGUGCUGGGCCCUGGGCCUCUUGGGGUUGGGAAUCUUGCAGUUGUCAUUGGUGAUGGUCAGGUGGGCCUGAGCAUGGUGUCAAGAUGCUGGCGCCACGCAAGGGUGGAGCCUACCUCUAGAGAUGCCCACUGUCAGAGUCCAUUGUUGAUUGUUAUUUCCCUGGCAUUUUUCAGAAUAAGAGAGGUCACAUCAGGGGAAGGUUGUUUUAAGCUGUCUUAACAGAAAAGACCUUGUCUAUUUCAUUCCCUGCUGAAUCUCCACUGCCCUUAACUGUGUGUGCCUCAUGGAGGACACUCAAGUAUCUGUCGAUAUUCGUUGAUCAAGUUGAAAACUCUAUUUUUAAAAGAAAAUAAACCCAAAAAGAAGGGGCGAGUCACUACUCAGGCAGUUGGUGGUUCAAUAAUCUAUUCUGGAAAUUCUUUCCCUAUAGACUCAGUCACUCAAUUCCAUUGAACCCCUACUGUGGGUUUCACUUUGUAAUAGAAACAGAAAGAUGUAUUAGACUCAGACAGUCACAUCUAGAUGAGAAAAUGAACCAAAACCCAUGUUCUGGCUGACUUACCUCUCCUGAAGUUCAAAUCAGAAUUGCAUGCAAACAGACUGCAUGCAGUUCUGUUUUGAACUUCAGUUGCAGCCCCAUUUAAUACUUGUAUGUCAUAGCUGAACAGAAUAUAGUGUAAUAUCUUAAGUGCCAGAAAGCCCUGGGUUCAAACACUGGCUCUGCCAGUUUCUAACAGUGUGACCUUAGGCAAGUUAUUUUAAUGCUCUCAGCCCCAGUUUUCGUCUAUGCCAUAGCACCUAUCUCAAGGUGUGGUUUUGAGGAGGAAGUGAAAUGAUGUGCAUUAUUUCAGAUUUUAUUUAUCAUGCACAUGGCAUUCCUAGGAGAGCACCUGGAGCAGAGCAGGAGUUUAAUAGAUUUUAGCUAUUAUUGCUGGGUAUAUAUUUUUUGUCUUCUCUGCCUGGGAUGCUCCCUGUACCGCAGGCUAACUUUCCAUUCAUCCUCUAAGGCUCAGUUCAGCCAGCACAAUACUUCCUCAAGAUGAAACGCCUUUGGUCAUUUGCCCUCUCCCUUUCCUGGGAGGCACACUCAGGAGUGCCUCUUCUGUGCCGCCACAGUGACUUGUGCACAUCUGUCCGGAGAGUCACUGCCUGGUGCUGUUAUUUUCAGUUCCAAUGUCGGCCUCUUAGACCUAGAGCCUCUUUAAGUCAAGGUACCAGUUUACUUACCCCCUACCCUCUUGGCUUCAUGAUUUUUUAUUGUGUUAGGAGUGCAAGUGUUUGCUAAAUAAAUGAAGGGACAAGUAAUAUUCCACCAUUUCAGGAAUAAAGUAUUGUGACAGAUAAUCAGGGCUUCCCUGAGGUCGGAAGAAAAGGACUAAAGCUUGUGGUAUAUGUUCCAAGAGGAAGAAAGAGCAAUUUGACAAGAAGUAAAAGCCCAUAUAUGGCAUUCAUUAUAGUCUCAAUGUUGGUCUCCACUCAGUAUUCAUAUAUUGAAAUCCCAACCCCCGAGCUGAUGAUAUUAGGAGGGGGACCUUUGGGAGGUGAUUAGGCAGAGCCCUCAUAAAUAGGAUUAGUGCUCUAAUAAAAGCGACCCGAGAGAGCUAACUCACUCCUUCCAUCCUGUGAAGACACAGAGAAAAGGCACCAUGUAUGAAUGAGAAAGUGGGCCCUCACCAGACAGUUAAUCUGCUGGCGCCUUGAUCUCGGACUUCUCAGCUUAUGGAACUAUGAGAAAUAAAUCUGUGUCAUUUAUAAGCUACACAGCUUGUGGUAUUUUAUUAUGGUAGCCCCAAUGGUGUAAGGCAACAUUGUUAUAUUAUCUAUAAUUUAUUUCGAAGCAGCUCUAUUUAAAACAUAUGUUGAUGAUGUGUAUUUCAGUUUGCGUAAUGCCCUAGGCACAGUUAUUUAGUAUUUGAAGUUUCCCAAUAUUUCAGAAGUAUUAGGGGUAGUUCUGUUAUGUUCCGGACUGUGAUACUAGCACUUCAGUUACGUUUAUUGCCAGUGGCACCAGAAGUUUUGUUAAUUAACAUACUGGGUGUUAGAUUUCAUUUUUGUAUUGGUGAAAUGAGUGGUGUUUGUUGGGUUGGUUAGGAAGGCUGCACAGGGAUCCUUGCCUUUGUGCAAUUAGGGCAUGAGCAGCUCACACCCUCUGGAGUGUCCCCCAAGUCUUAGAAUUCUGCUAGAUUCUGUGUACAUUUGCUUAAGGAGAAUCCUGUCAUUUGACCAAUUAACUGAAUCCUGCUGCUAGCUCCUUGUCACAUCUGCUUGGAAUGAAAGGACAGAGAGCUGGGAUAAACCAGGUGGUCCUAUGUUUGCUGAGCUUACAAACCAGGUGGUCUGAUGUUUUACCUCCUGCUGGCUGAUAGGUCUCUCUGUGUGUCAGAAUUUGGUCUGAGUCUUGCUCUCAUUAUAACAGACCACCUGGGUGAGACGGUCCCUUACAAACAGUGACCUUGUGCCCAAGUGGCCUUCACCCCUCUAACCACUGAUGGCUGCCAGAAGGCUAAGAACCUAAUACUGUAAUCUUGAAUGACCUAUGGUGCAGGUCAACUUGAAGGAAUAUAUUUGGAGGGCAGUGAUAGCAAUGAAUAUGGAAAAGCAAGAAGGUACGCGAGGGACGAAAACAAGACCAGAAUCAGCAGGAUUUGGGGGCUGAUUCAAUAUGGCAGCAGGCAAGACAGUAUGUCAAAAACAAGACAUAUGUGUGUAU